AAGUGCAUGUGAUUUGCCACGUGAGUUCCCAGAUGAUCUCACUAUACAAUAAACCACACGGCCAUCUGGGUCCCUGGUUGAUCAUGUAUGUUCUGAUGUUCUGAGUAGCUUGUAAGAGACAGAUAAAGCCUGGCAAAAAAGUAACAAUACUUUCAUUUAUUCAUUACCCCCCCCCCCACCACUACUUCUGUCCUUAUCAGCACCCACUUUUCACGUUCCUUCUGUCAGAUGGAUGACAUUGUAUUUGGACAAGCACAGCAGAGAUUCAGGCACAAAGGACCAUGCUUCUGCCCACAAUGCAACUUGCUCACCCAUAGUUGCACCCAUAGUUGCCUUGUCCAGAGGCACAAGGUUUGCACCUGAUUGCUAAAGCUGAUUAAUAAAGCUUUAUUUUUAGGCACUAAAUUGAGGGCCGUUAGGGACAAGGCAGGUGCCUUGACCUUACCAUCUGUGUAAGGGAGGGGAUAUAUAUAGGACUCCUUUCUUCUCCAGAGCACUGCCCUCUACAUCUUGUUCUGGAUGUUCCAACAAAGGCACAACCAGUGCAGAGGGCAAGACACUUUUGCACUGCACCGAUGGUAAGUGUAAUAAUUGGACAAUUUGUAGCUGUCAGUGCACCAGUGCUUGUGCUUAGCCCUUCAUAAAUCUGUACAGAGACAUGCAAGAAUAAAGCUCUUCCUUUGUUCGGCAGCACUGUAUUCAUAAGAGGUGGGAGAGGGAUGAUGGGAAGUGCUUGGGGACACACCCUGUUCUUAACUUCUGCCCUAUGGUUGGCAGUUAGGGCAGGGCUACCACGUGCCUGACUGCUGCACUCUGCACCUAGUGUCAGAUUUUAAAUCAAAUCCAGAACACAUCCACACCCCAAAUUAAAGUCCUUUUUGAUUGAGUAUUAAGGUUGCACAUUUGCACCCCUAGGUGCUCCAGCACUUGCAUCCAGGGUCAGACUGGACCACCGGCCUAGAACCGAUCCCCACAGGGUGCUCCACCGAUCCUCCGAUCUCCCUCCCCCAAGACGCUGCAGUAAAUUUUCACCCUGCGGGGAUGUGUGUGGAGGCCACGGUGGGGGCCAUUGGGGGGUGCAGGGACCCCCAGUCCGACCCUGCUUGCAUCCAAGUAUAUACUUAUAUACCUUUUGUUUUCAUUCCUUUCUUUGUCAGUUUUGGAGUAACAGAGCAAUCCCAUGUGACUGCCAUGGAUAAGAUGGACUCUGACAACGUGCUGUAGAGAAUCAGCAUUCUAUGGAGCGGACGGAACCUUGUGUGAGAUGACAAUAAAUGAAAUUAAAGAGAGCAAGACAUGUUCAAGGCUCACUUAGCAGCAGAGAGCUUUUAAGUUAUCCUGACAGUUCCUGCUCAGAUGUUCGACAGACUUCACUUCUCUGAAAUUCAUCAUCCUGGGAAAUCCAUCCGAUGGAAAGCAUAUGAUAUUCCUUUAGUUUAAUGACUCAGAGUCAUUUUAAUUGGGCCGGGGCAUCUCUUCUAAAGCUUUCGCUCUGAGAAAGAAAAAAAGUUCUUCUUUUGAUUUAAUUAAUUUUGAUUUUAUCCCUGUGUUGUAGGAAGAAUUAUGUCUGUAAAGCUUAAUUAACAUUAUGGU